GUCGACGAACUUCUUUAUCACCGAGUGCUUGCACUCACCGAUAACGAUUUGAGUGGCGAACGGGUGAGUAACACGUGGGCAACCUGCCCAAAAGAGGGGGAUAACACUUGGAAACAGGUGCUAAUACCGCAUAACCAUAGUUACCGCAUGGUAACUAUGUAAAAGGUGGCUAUGCUACCGCUUUUGGAUGGGCCCGCGGCGCAUUAGCUAGUUGGUGGGGUAAAGGCUUACCAAGGCAAUGAUGCGUAGCCGAACUGAGAGGUUGAUCGGCCACAUUGGGACUGAGACACGGCCCAAACUCCUACGGGAGGCAGCAGUAGGGAAUCUUCCACAAUGGGCGAAAGCCUGAUGGAGCAACGCCGCGUGGGUGAAGAAGGUCUUCGGAUCGUAAAACCCUGUUGUUAGAGAAGAAAGUGCGUGAGAGUAACUGUUCACGUUUCGACGGUAUCUAACCAGAAAGCCACGGCUAACUACGUGCCAGCAGCCGCGGUAAUACGUAGGUGGCAAGCGUUAUCCGGAUUUAUUGGGCGUAAAGGGAACGCAGGCGGUCUUUUAAGUCUGAUGUGAAAGCCUUCGGCUUAACCGGAGUAGUGCAUUGGAAACUGGGAGACUUGAGUGCAGAAGAGGAGAGUGGAACUCCAUGUGUAGCGGUGAAAUGCGUAGAUAUAUGGAAGAACACCAGUGGCGAAAGCGGCUCUCUGGUCUGUAACUGACGCUGAGGUUCGAAAGCGUGGGUAGCAAACAGGAUUAGAUACCCUGGUAGUCCACGCCGUAAACGA
rnacentral:rRNA from 1 species